rnacentral:rRNA from 1 species
UACGUAGGGGGCAAGCGUUGUCCGGAAUCAUUGGGCGUAAAGCGCGUGUAGGCGGUCCGGUAAGUCCGCUGUGAAAGUCGGGGGGCUCAACCCUCGGAUGCCGGUGGAUACUGUCGGGCUUGAGUACGGAAGAGGCGAGUGGAAUUCCUGGUGUAGCGGUGAAAAUGCGCAGAUAUCAGGAGGAACACCAAUUGCGAAGGCAGCUCGCUGGGACGUUACUGACGCUGAGACGCGAAAGCGUGGGAGCAAACAGG